rnacentral:rRNA from 1 species
AACGAACGCUGGCGGCGUGCUUAACACAUGCAGGUCGAACGAGAAAGCACCUUCGGGUGUGAUUAGAGUGGCACACGGGUGAGUAAUACAUAGGAACGUACCUACGGGUGGGGAAUAACCACGGGAAACUGUGGCUAAUACCGCAUGACAUCGCAGGAUUAAAGGAGGCCUCUUCUUGAAAGCUUUCGCCUGUAGAUCGGCCUAUGUCCCAUUAGCUUGUUGGCGAGGUAACGGCUCACCAAGGCGACGAUGGGUAGCUGGUCUGAGAGGAUGAUCAGCCACACUGGAACUGAGACACGGUCCAG